GCCGGGCAUGGUGGCUCAUGCCUGUAAUCCCAGCAUUUUGGGAGGCCAAGAUGGGUGGAUCACCUGAGGUCAGGAGUUUGAGACCAGCCUGACCAACAUGGUGAAACCCCGUCUCUA
ensembl:misc_RNA Metazoa_SRP Metazoan signal recognition particle RNA